AAAAUCAGAAAAUGUUUACCUAUACUAUUGCAAAGCAUAUCGAGGAUGCUGAGGGCUAUAUUAAAAUCAUCCAGUAGCGUGACUCCAUUCGAAGUAGUAAUAUCCAGAUUGGGUCAGAAACAAGAGCGCCUGACUUAGGCAACUUCUAUACUUCGGAGUACACAGUACAGCCGCCGUACAGGAUGGCUUAUGAUAAACAGAAGAUACCAGGUUGCUACUAAUAUUACUGAAUUUAUUUGAUGGCUAUUAUCAUUUUGCAGAUUACACCUUUAUCGGAGUGAAUAUCCCUAUCUACCAAAAGCUCUUACCUAAUACGAACCAACCAGCCAGGAAGCACGUCAAAGCCAUGGAGGCUAGUCUGGUCGCAAAACCCUUAUUACGUAUUGGAAUUUGUUCCUGAGAGCAUUCUAGGGAUGACGAUCAUUUAUCAGAAGUCGGCUCCAAAAACGUGAAAGCGAACGACUGGAUUAGUUACCCUUCGCAGACUCGUUCAGCUGAGAGGAUCUUGCAAGGACUUGGAUGAUGAUUGAUCAUGGAUCUUUCGGUGGUACUGUAUUUUCGUAGCCAUUGUUUCUAACUUAUGGUGGCCUAGUUAUGCGAGAGAAGAAAAUAUGUGCACUAGGAUCGAUCGACCCUUCUUUCUUAUCAGAGUAAGUUUUUGCAGCGAAUGACAGUCUGGCAAAGAAAAGCACUCUAAGGAUCGACCGAAAGUAACUGGCAAGAAGGGUAUCAAAAUUCCAGUAUGACAGUAUGGAUAGGCCCUGGAUGAUAUUGAGAGCCCUUUGACUAGGUUUUACCUCUUUUUAGUAAAAUUCUCAGGUACCAUGUAGAAAUUACGUAAGUUUGCAUGCAGCUGAGAAAAAAUGCGCAGUUGCGUGUCGCCACUCUGAUUUUCUAAGAUGUAAAAUCAAAGGCAGGCGCAAAGUUGUGACUGUUAUCGUACAUAGUAUAUAUAGAUAAAUUGUUUAAUCCUUGGGAUGUACUAAACAAUCUCGAAGGUAAUUGCAACUUGGCAUACGUAAUUAUGAGAGAAAAAAAAUUAAUUGUUAUUUCCAUUUCUAUAAGUCUGCUACACGCGACUAGAGUUUGUUGUAUUAAAUUAUCAUAACUAUUACAGCUGCAAUUCGAACGGCCGACCAUAAACUUUUUAGUAAUACACGCAGAAGGUAAUGCAAAUCUGCAAUGCAGUUACUGUACAGCUCGUGCAUGCCCAGCUGCAUACUUGCAAAACUGCAUCUUGAGAUUUCGCCACGCCCUUUCUCGAGAAUUAACGGCAAAGAAAAAUUGCACGAGAUAUGAAAAUUUUAUCUUUUAGCUUUGUGCUAAUUUUUGCAUCGUCUUUGGUAUAUUUUAUUUUUCUUUAUUAAUUAAUCGUCUGUCAGUGCGUAAUUACGUAAAUUCUCAUGUAACAUAGAACUGUAAUUUCGCGUUUCAAUUCGUCAUAGUAAAUCCGCAAUUUUUGUGCAAUAUGUCCAAAGUACAAAAAGUCAGGAUGCACCGAACGCGAUAAGACGUACUGACACUUGCGAAUUGCUGCGUCUCCUCAGCAUUGAAUCAUGAGCCAAGGUGGAAUCCGUGCAAUUUGUCAGACGUCUCGUAUUCCUCUCAGCUAUUGGGAAGAAACGUGAAAAUAUUUUAAAAAAGAGAAAACGCCCGCGAAAGGGUUGGGAAGAAGCAUAAGAAGUGGCAUUGUCGAGAGGCAGCCCAGGCAAAUAGUGACGACUAGAGUUUUGCUAACGACACCUAAAGCCCUGAACACAAAGUCA